CAGUGGUGGGUGGAAUAUGCUUCAUAGAUACUUGCAUGUUCCCAUAAUUUUGCCAUUUAAGAUAGAUUCUACAGUUGCACACACUGGUAACACUUAAGGUAAGUAGAGUGUUUUUUGUUUUCUAGAAACAAGUGCUAAAAUUAAAUAUAUUAUGUUAUCAAAUUGCUAAAGCCUUCUAGGUUUUAUGCCCUGCACCCAACUGCAAAAUAAACAAAUGCAUAAAUUUUGCCAGUAUUUUACUAAAUAGUAACUUACACAAUUUAUUUAAUCAAAAAGACAUUCUCUACUGUGUUAAACAGUGAAUUGUCAUAAUUGAUAUUAAAAAAGGAUGGAUCCUGAACUUUCAUUCUUUCUCUCCUGAGUAACCAGAGGCUGGAAAAGCUCUCCAUAAAAGAAUCACAUCCCUUCAUUGAGACAGAAAUGCUGAAGUUUGCCAAACCCAUAAGUAUGUAACGAUUUCUUGAAAUGCCUGAACCACUAGGACUGCCUAUAGUAAGUGUGAGGGUGUUGCUAACUUAGUACAGUGUCCAUAAUGAUAAAUCAUAAAACUUCAUUUAUUUCCAUGGUUUCCUAUUAUUUGCCCCAAAAGCAACAGCAAGUCAAAGAUUUCCAAAACACAUUACAAUUCAUCAGUCAACAAUAUUAGGUGGGAAGUUGUUUUCUUGAUUUGAUGUCAACCAAGUACUGCAUAUUAUGCAAUACACAUUAGAAAUGCAAACUGGAAAAGGAAACAUUUUGAGAAGUGCUUAACUCUCCUCUUACAUAGGAGUGGCUCUUUCCCGUUUAUUGCAAGAACCAAACUUUGCAUGUGUGAUGUUUAACAUUUGAUUCUUUAAAUUUAAUUUGCCCAAGACUCCCACAUUGUGAUAACAUACUUGUUUUCUCUCAUUAGGUUGGUUGCAAAGGACACACAGAAUUUUGAAGCAUGUAUGAGACCUGCUACUGCAGUUUUCAGUUGUAAAUAACGUUAACAGUUGUUAAACUUUAACGGCUUUAACAUUCUUUGCUUACAUAUUCAGAAGCGGCUCCCACUGAGUUCACCAGAGAGUUCAUCCAACACAUCACUGCUAGUGUCAUCUAUCAAAGCAGUUGCUAUUGAUUUGGAGGCCAUUUUGCCCAGAAUUUUCUUUUGGACCUGAAUGGCCAAACUUUUGGAAUUGAAGACAUCUGUGGCCACUGAAAGGGAAAAAAUAGAGUAUAUGUUAGUAAGUUUAACUCAUGCAACAUGAUUUAAAAUUAAAGCAAUUUAAAAUCUGAUGUGCAAAAGAAUUUAUAUUGCUACUUUAAAUUGAAUGCAAUGAUGCAGAACAGAAGUUUUUCUGGAAAACCAACAUCACUGAAACAAAAUUAGACAUUUGUUUCAGGUAUUUUCUAUACAGAAACAGUAAAUGCUUCAUGCAGCCAUCAAAAUAUGUUGAUUUACAAUGUACUAGAACCAUUAUAUUCCUUAGGUGAGUACAUUUAAGGUGUUCUACUUAGGAAUUAUUACUUUUUUUUUAGAGAAUGCCACACAAUAUAUUGUUUGUUUAAAAUAUAACCUAGGACUUCCCAGAAGUAGUAAUGGUUAUCACUAAUUAAAGCAGUUUUUUUCCUCAGUAAAUGUUCAUAUAGUUUAGCUGACAGGGUAACAACAUCAGUAAUUUGAGAAUUCAGUAAGUUGCAGAGUGUACAGAAAGCACAAAAGAGGACUAUUUUAAUCCCAGAGAAUGUAAUACAUUGCCUUGGGUGGAAAACAAGAUUCUUUUUCUUUGAGCUAAGUUUUCUAUUUCUAGGUCAAUGCUGAUACUUGUGUCUGGACCUUCAGAUCUAUGGCAGAAAAAUCUUGUGGAGGAGAGAAGUCCAAAGAUAAUUGGGGGUGGAGUGGUCAGUUUUUACACCCUCUGCAGCAGUGACUUCUUGUUUUCCAUUUUCCUUCCCAUUACUUUCAAUGUCAUUUUCCAAUAUCCAAUACAUAAAUACCCCUUUUUCUAUGUGAAAUUUUUUUUAAAGAUACAUGUUUUGAGGUUAAACAUUAAAACAGGACAUAACAGUACUGUCCUGUUCAACAGGUGGUCUCUUUAAUCCCUAGAUCUUUUUACAUGUACUGCUGUCAAGCCAGUUAUUGUCCAUCCUGCAUCUGUGCACCCAUUUUGCUGUGUUGUUUCCCAUUCAAGUUUGAUGCGCACCUUCUCUGCUCCUUAAAGUAAGUUAUAAAAAUGUCAAACAACAAAGAACCUAAGACAGAACCCUGUGAAUUGGUUGUAACAAGAAGCUACUGGAGUUGGUUUUCCUUGGGGGGUUUUUCAUAAUGGUACUAGACACUGCAUUGAAAAUUUAAGCCAUGGUGUAAAUGUGCCACUGUUGUAAUAUGCAAACCAACAGUAAUGUAAUAAAUAAAAAGAUAAAAA